rnacentral:lncRNA from 1 species
GGUAUCUGGUCGGUGUCGAUCGAUGAAGCUUUUGCUGGGCCUUUAUCGACUUCACCUCUACAUCUCAACACUCUCCGAGAAGCUACUGCAUACAUAUCAUCAGAAAAUACCCCAUCGCAGGAACCUAAAUGCACACUUCUAUCUGGUGGGAUAGGAAUUUCAACUUCUACAACAGCGCAUGGUACCACAAACUUCACAGGGUCAUGUGACCUCUUCACUCCUUUG